AGAAUAUAAAUUUGUAUGGAGUUGGAACAACUUUCCUUCGUUUGCCGCUAGGAGCGCUUUUCUAACUCCAUACAAAAUUGAGUUC
rnacentral:pre_miRNA from 1 species